AGAUAAGAUUUAGUAUGUUGUAAGUGAUGGGAGGAGCUGUGAGGUUUAACGUCUGAGGUUUUCUACAGAAAGAGGAACCUGGAGCAGAUCUGGAGGCAGAGACACUCAAAAUAUGAGUGUGACACACUCUGCGAAUGAAAUCACUCUUAGGAGAAAGAAAGAAAAUAAUCAGAUGUUCAACAAUAACUGACUGAAGAUCAUCAGUGAAGCUGAAGAUCCUCCUCAUCUUCACCCUCAGGAGGAUGAUCCCAUUGGCUGGUUACAUCGGUGAGUAAGAUACAGGACUGACCUUGGAGAACGGUGGACUGGAGUUUAUAUGAACAUCACUGAGACUGAAGUUUAGACCAGAAUGAAGAUUCUCCUCAUCUUCACCCUCCACCUGAUCUCAGGUGGAGUGGCCGGUAUUGAUGUGAUCGGCUUUCCAGGAGGAAGAGUUACAAUCACCUGUAACUACGAUGACUAUGGAAGGGCAAAGACACAUAUUUGCAAAAUGAAAACACAAACUGAGUGUGAAUAUAUUACAGUUAUUAAG